UACGAAGGGGGCUAGCGUUGCUCGGAAUUACUGGGCGUAAAGAGCUCGUAGGCGGCUUGUCACGUCGGAUGUGAAAGCCCGGGGCUUAACCCCGGGUCUGCAUUCGAUACGGGCAGGCUAGAGUGUGGUAGGGGAGAUCGGAAUUCCUGGUGUAGCGGUGAAAUGCGCAGAUAUCAGGAGGAACACCGGUGGCGAAGGCGGAUCUCUGGGCCAUUACUGACGCUGAGGAGCGAAAGCGUGGGGAGCGAACAGG
rnacentral:rRNA from 1 species